GACGUAGGAGGCGAGCGUUGUCCGGAUUCAUUGGGCGUAAAGAGCACGCAGGCGGCUCGUCAAGCCUGACGUGAAAGCCCCCGGCUCAACCGGGGAGGGUCGUCGGGGACGUGGCGGGCUUGAGGUCGGCAGGGGUUGGUGGAAUUCCCGGUGUAGUGGGUGAAAUGCGUAGAGAUCGGGAGGAACACCCGUGGCGAAGGCGGCCAACUGGGCCGGAGCCUGACGCUGGAGGCGCGAAGGCGUGGGGAGCGAACGGG
rnacentral:rRNA from 1 species